rnacentral:ncRNA from 1 species
UAUCUUUGCAGCCGAUUUAAAAAUCGUACAUAACAAACAUUAAAAACAAUUUUGGCAUG